GCUUUGGAAAAUCCAUGAAUAAAUAAAUAUGUUAAUGCAAAUAGUUUCCACCUCACAGACAGAUUUGUAAGAGGAUGUCCUUUCCUUAAACUACACUGCAUUCUAAAGCAACUCUCCCGCCUGACAGUAUAUCUGGCAGAACUAGUUAGUAGGAAUGACCCUUACUCAACCAUAAUCUGUACAUAUAAUUGAUGACAGAAUCUGAAAGGAUACUAACAUCUGACCUGGUACUAUUACAUUUUCAAGGUAAUUUGUGUCAUAACGGUUCAUUUAAAAACACGUAAAAGCAAGUUUAUGCAGCAUUGAAUAUAAUCGCUUGUUCACAAUCUCAAGAUCUAAAGAAGCAGAGCAUGCUUUUAAAAAUCAAUACACAAGCCUAAACCUAAUGGAUAAUUCAUUAGAACCAGUUCUGCUGAACCACAGAUUCACAGUGCCAACACAGUCCUCAGCAAAGCUGAGUUAGAAGGUAAGAAUCUAUCCACCCUACCUCCCACUCUGAGGAAGCUUUAGGUGUCAGGAGAAAAGAAGGCUGCAAAGUGGUCCCAGUGAACAAGAAAUUAGAGUCCAAGACAGUUUUAGGAGUAACCAAGUGCUACAUUAGAGCAGAAAGAGAUACGGCUGUAAACACCAGCCCUGGUUCAUUUUUCUAUAUUCUUUAAGUGUAUUGAUCACAAAAGUCUGGAAUUUAGGAGAAUUCUAAGAACCUGAGUGUCUUGAGGGAACAGCAGAGGAGAUGUGAUUGAACGAGGAGUACUGAAGAGCACCAAGCAUGAGAGGACAGAUCUUUCUGAAUGGAAUGUGUCCUGGCUGUCAAGAAAAUGGAGUCAUCCUGAAGCACAGAUUGGAAGGGGAGAGUACGGUACACCCAAGAGGAAUCUAUGGCUCUUUUACCCAUUAGAUCUCUCUAUCCUCUGAGAAAGGAGGAGGCCAGGGGAAGGGCAGUUCCCCAUGGAGAUGACCUUGGCCUUCUUCAGUAGACACCAAAAGUGCCAGGGUCUCUGCAUUCCAUCUGAAAAAAUAUAUUUGACUUAGCAACUUCCCAGCAUCAGAGACCUAGAGACUCUGGGCAACUUCUACUGAUUUGAUUGAAUAAUAUUUGGAAAAUAAGAAGUUUUCAUGGACAAUAAAGCAUGUAUAAAAUUGGCCA
rnacentral:lncRNA from 1 species